AGGUACUUUCCAAAGGAGCAACUGUCAGGACUGGCUUAGGAAAUUCCAGGAUUUCAGUUUUCAGCAGGAAACCAACCCCUCAGAGGGGAGGGGAAAGAAGACAGUGUGUCUAAUGGAGAAUUUCCUCCAUGACCUUCCUGACAGUGCCUGAAACCACUGCAAGGAGAUUGAAGGCACUCAUCGGGCUGCACCCAUCAUUUUAAUAGUAGGAGGAUACUAACAGGGAUGCUGUGUUUCUCUUCACACAGCCUCAUUCCUCAUGAGUGAUGCACACAGUGAGUGGCACAGAACCAGGGGAAGAGAAGACAGUAUCUCAUGGUCAUGCCAGGAUCCUUCCCAUGAAGUCCUGUGCCAAGAAUCCCAAUUCUGCACUGGCAGCUGAGCUGUGUAACAUCUCCUCCACCUAACUGACACCUUAAGUUUUAGCUUUCAUAUUUUCCAGAUUCUGUACUGCAUUAGUGUAUAACUCUGAACGUCAUAUAAAGUGUUAGCAAGUUCUCAUCACAGUUUGGUCAGACAAAACAAUCCUUUUCCAGCCUGAGAACCAAGGACACCAUUGCAGAUUCAGGCCCACAAAGUAUAAACAGAGAACUGAGGAGAGCAAACUGGGAGGAUGGGACUUCACAACCUAAAGCUGUAAUGGGACAAUUAACUCCAAUAUGGAAAUGGAUCAAAACUUAUAAAAGUGUAAAAACUCGUGACCUGUCGUUCAUCUUGGCUGGAGCCACGGCCAGGCCCUUUGUGUAUCCAAAGUGUAUCCUUUGAAGGCCUUUCUAAUAAAUAGCUAUUCCUUUAAUACUGUCUAGCCUCUGUUCUAGGUAGCCUCUUAAGGCAUCAUAAUGACUCCCAUGCCAAGGCAUGACAAGUAUUUAUUUAAUGAGCAAAGGUUGAAAGGGAAGAGCUGGAGCCCCUCAAAGCUUGGUCUUCAUGCAUUUCUAGGGCUGCAGAAGCUCCCUCCACAUUUGGCCCUUCUUAAAGGCUUUGGCCAGACUCAUCUCCUCACCUUCAACAUCACCCUGCAAGCAAGGGCCAAGUCCUGCCAGCGCCCUGAUGAGUGACACUGAGGCUCCACGAUUAAUUCCUUGCCAGAGGGUGUCUGUAACUUGUAACAUCACCAUUAUCUGCACCUGUGGCAGAGAGGAAACAUGAGUCCUUCAGAAUUAAAAGCCUGAGAAACAAACAGGCUUCAGGAAACGCUUGUGCUCCAGCUGGCCAGGGACCUGUAAGGCUCCCCUACAUCUCACUUUGGGAUUAAAUUAUACAGAGCAGAUUCAGGUCUUACGGGAGUCCAUGAAACCAGACUUCCUCACUUCCUAACUACAAAAGCACUUCAGAUUUUGCCCCUAACACCAAAAUUUCUCCUCCUGCACCCCAUCACAACCCUCAAGCUUAAUGCAUCUCCUUUUCUGCCUCCUGGAAAGCUCUGUGGCUGGAGAUGGGCUUUGAGAAAGAUCCUCAUGACACCCAACCCUACCCAUGCACCAUCUCCCUGCAUGGCUGACUCGUGCCAGAUCCAUGCCCAGCCCAGACACAAUUCCAGCAGAAGCCCCACAGAUGCUGAGCUGUCCCUGGCUGGCGGUAGCCUGGGCAAGGCGCCCAACCCUUCCCAGCUGUCACAAUUCAAUUCUACCAAAGCUCAUUAAAAAUUCAGGGGUUGACACAUGUUCCAGCUGGGACAGAGCUGGGAAUUCUUGCUGUCAGGAAGACUUCAAUCCUGUUGGCCCUGCCUCAGGUCUCUGUAAAUGCAUUUUCCCAUAUAAAACCAAAUGGGAAAUCUGCCAAAGAGGCAGCUGCUGGGGACUUGGGGUGCAUGAUCACUCCACAUGCCCUCCGGGAGCCUCUGACAGCAAUCCCACCCCCAGCAACACAACAUUGCCAGAGAAAGCUCCCCAGGACUCUCCCAGGGAGAGAGCAGGGCUGACUCAGGAAAACCCUCAACAAAAUCAUCACCUCUAACGGUGACCUGAGAUGGGUAUUAGCUUAACUUCGCGUUAGAUGAGAACAUUUCCGCGGGUGCAGUGAGAACAGGCGCUGGCACAGAGCCAUCAGUCAGCAGAGAUGGUGGUUUCCACCCAUAGGCUCUCGGCAAACGGCGCUGCCAGCCCAGGGCACGUGCCGCUCGCGGGAACCCGCUGUGCCCACGCAGUGUCUGGGGACAGCUUUGCUCCAGGCAGCCCUUCUGCCAGCAACAAACCUCAUCUGUCCCUAAAAACCAAAAAGGAUGGAAUCAGCAGGAUAAUCAUGUAACCAAGUGGGGCCAUAAGUGCUUUAAAAAAUGGGACAUGCUGGUAGAGGCGGUGCUGCUCCAGGAAAGGCAAUGUUGAUGCCCUAGGCAAAACACACGGGCAAGAGCCUUGUAGAGGAAGUCAAAUGGGUGAGCGGGUGGGAUGCAGCUGUCCCAGCGGGAAAUAAGCGACCCAUUCAGUUAAAACACAUGGACAUCACUUGAGUGACCUGGCCUGCCUGGUACCCUGGAAAGCAGGAGCAUGGGGCAACUGUUAGUCCAGUGCCAUGCCAGGCAAAAAGGGGGAAAAAUUGGUGUGUAUAUAUAUAUUUAUAUAUAUGUAACUCUAUUUUGCUUUAUGCUCUUAAAAAUAUCCAUUUGAAUAUAUUUGCCAUAUUAAAAAACUUACAGCAGGCUGUGCUGU